rnacentral:rRNA from 1 species
GCCGGCAGCUAGCUCUCUGCAUCUCUCACAUGGUCGCCCAUUGAAGCUAAGCAGGGCUGCACCUGGUCAGUACCUGGAUAGGAGACUACAUGGAAAUGCUAGGUUGCUGCUGGAA